ACCGAUCUCCACUUACUAGAUCAAUUGGAUGAUUGAGUCUUGAAUAAGGUCACUUGGUGGUUUGGUUUACUCCAUACCAAUUAGAUUAGUCAUAGUGAUGAUUGAUUAGAUGAGAUCUGAAUUAAAACUUCCUCGCACAAUAUUAAGUACUGCGAUCUUUCACCAAUGUAGAUGUGCGGACGUGCAACUUGUAUUGAUUGUUCUCGACUGGUUACAAUAGUUCAGUUGCAUCAAAAAUAUGCAACCACUCUAUAGCAUUAGAUGCUCCGGGGU
rnacentral:lncRNA from 1 species